UCUUGUCAUAGGUCGUUCUUCUGGUUUUAAUAGUGAUAAGAUCCAUCUCUGGACUUCAUCCAUAUCUGCUCUUCGUAGUUCUCUUGAAUUUGAAUAUAUCAUUAAUUGAUCUCUCGAGUAAUAACUCCAUAUAGCAUUUCCGUUUAAAUAAUUGUUUGCUAACUCUUGUAUAAUAGUUGAUAUACCAAUUAUUCUUUUGUUGGCAUAAAAACUUGGUAUCUCUAUUUUGCAUAUCUCUUCCUGUUGUCUGAUGUCCUCGGGUAUAAUCAUAUCUUUAGUUAGUGCUAUCUUGAUAACCUAUAUUGGAGGUUUUAUUUCCUCGUAUAAUAUCUCCGCUGGUGCUGUAUAGAAUUUUAUGUAAAAUAAAUUU
rnacentral:lncRNA from 1 species